rnacentral:rRNA from 1 species
AACGAACGCUGGCGGCAUGCCUAACACAUGCAAGUCGAACGAGACCUUCGGGUCUAGUGGCGCACGGGUGCGUAACGCGUGGGAACCUGCCCUUAGGUUCGGAAUAACUCCCCGAAAGGGGUGCUAAUACCGGAUAAUGUCUUCGGACCAAAGAUUUAUCGCCUUUGGAUGGGCCCGCGUUGGAUUAGCUAGUUGGUAGGGUAAAAGCCUACCAAGGCGACGAUCCAUAGCUGGUCUGAGAGGAUGAUCAGCCACACUGGGACUGAGACACGGCCCAGACUCCUACGGGAGGCAGCAGUGGGGAAGAUUGGACAAUGGGCGAAUGCCUGAGCCAGCAAUGCCGCGGGAGUGAUGAAGGCCUUAGGGUUGUAAAGCUCUUUUACCCGGGAUGAUAAUGACAGUACCGGGAGAAUAAGCCCCGGCUAACUUCGUG